rnacentral:rRNA from 1 species
AUUGAACGCUGGCGGCAGGCCUAACAAAUGAAAGUCGAACGAGUGGCGGACGGGUGAGUAAUGUCUGGGCAACUGCCCGAUGGAGGGGGAUAACUACUGGAAACGGUAGCUAAUACCGCAUACCAUCGGAUGUGCCCAGAUGGGAUUAGCUAGUAGGUGGGGUAAUGGCUCACCGAGGCGAAGAUCCCUAGCUGGUCUGAGAGGAUGACCGUCCACACUGGACAUGAGACACGCUCCAGACUCCUACGGGAGGCAUCAGUGGGGAAGAUUGCACAAGGGGCGCAAGCCUGAUGCAGCCAUGCCGCGUGUAUGAAGAAGGCCUUCGGGUUGUAAAGUACUUUCAGCGAGGAGGCGUUACUCGCAGAAGAAGCACCGGCUAACUCCGUGCCAGCCGCCGCGGUAAUUC